rnacentral:lncRNA from 1 species
UGUGAAUAACACCAGUUCAUUUCCAUUAGUUACAUCAUUAACAAGUCUCCAAAACAGUAUAUUGUAUAAUCAUAGUUAAAGUGGAACAGAUAGUACGAUUACAUCAUGUUUAGUUUAACCUUCCCAAAAACAGAUACAACCCACACCAUGUAUACAGAGCCUCUAAUAGAACUAAAAGAGUGCUACGACUGUGCCGGCAAUAAGGCCCCGACUAUAUACCUCAAACACAAUGUACAAAGGACAAGAGAUACUGGACCCCGAAAUGAAGUGGGUCUCACCAAGUUAGCUGAGGAGAGGGUGUGCUGCUAUCACUGAUCAGUACCACCUGCUAUGGAACCACCUAUAUACAUUAAAGAUGCAGCGCCCCCGGCAAAAAGGACGUUAGUACAUAUGGAAUUGUACUAGUAUGUAAUUCUAAACACCUUCUCAAUAGAACGAGUAACAACAAACGGAGAAAGAAACAUGAAAUCAAUAAAAGAAUCAAAUAGUAUCAAGGUGUCAAGUUAGGGGAAAGGCAAAUUUCAAGUAAGUUCCAAUAUUUUUAAGUUGGGAGAUAUUUAGCACCGAUACACCACCGUGUUUUAGCACGGAGUCCGAUCUCAGUCCGACCGGCUAAGCUGUCUCACCCUGAGACAUCCACUCACAAUACCACCAUAUAUGCGGCAUGGCAUCCGAUCUCAUCCCGACCUGCUAAGCCGUCUUGCCACAAUGCCGUGUGGGUCGACAUCACAUCAUAUCUCGCUAGCAACAAUCUUAUUCCAUAUAAGGGAAAACAUCUCAACACAUCAAUCUCAUCCCAUUUAAGGGAAAACAAUCUCAUCAUAUUAACAAGGGGAUUUACCGCUCAAUCACUCAUAUACCGUCACGUGUAGUUUUGGGGUUAGGUUAUUAUGACCUACCCUUACUCGGUGGCUAAUCGAUACUCCUAAAGCAUUUACUAUUAGAAGGAUUUACCACAUAUUUCGUAAUAUUUUUCAUAUCAUUCAUUUCCUUGGCACCAAUGGCCAUGACGCAAUAUCAUUCUUGGCACGUUGGCCGCACAUCAUAUUUCAUGUUCUCUUCUUACACUUUAAAAUAUCAUCAUGGAUAAUCAAAAACAAGGCCUUUCAAAUUAAGACUUUAAACACAUAUUUGAGCAAUUUAGGGUCUUAGGAACAUGUGAUUUCUUACACAAUUCGACAUUAUAGCUUUCAUUAGAAACACGUUUUAAAUCAUAACAUAAUAACAUACAGCCCAUACUUAAACCACAUUCUCAAACAGUAACUCAACAUAACAAGAAUAUUUAGAACACAUAUUGAACGCACAUUUAUUUUAACAGAAGGCUUAUUUGGAAUAAUCAAUUUAUAAGGAGCAUCACGAGACUUACAAGGCCGUUGUGGGGUUCAAUUAUAAAAGAGGAGUUUAGCCAACAUACCUCGCUUUGAGCUUUCCUUAAUUCACUACACAGUUCCGAAAAUCCUAGCAACUUUGAUCUAUUCAGAGAUAUGGCAAAAUUGAAUACAAAUUAGGAAGAAGUUCAUGUUUCAAGCUCAUUUGAGUAUUUUAUCGAACACUAGGUGGGCAUUAUUAUUUCUAGCUUCUCCUAUGGAGGAUUUCCUUCACCCCACAACCUAAGGUCUACCCAUUUGAGUUCAACUACCUUCCCACAACUCAUGAAUGUACAUGCAUGUAUAAAAAGUAACUCUCAUCCUCAAAACAUUCCUCUCCAUUACCUAUUCCCAAAUAAAAUUUCGAAAUUGAGGGUUAGGGCUAGAAUCUUACCUCUUGGUUGAAUACCUUGUGAGCUUUCUUGUUGAAUUUCAAGUCCUAAGCAAGAUUUUUGAGGAACAAUUAGCUUAGGGAUUUCACCUCUCACUCUAAGGCACUCCCUCUCUCUAGAAAUACCAGAUAUCCCCUUCAGAAAUGGUCCCUUACGUCUAAUUAUCGAGAUAGGGCCGGGUUAAAAAGAUAGAAAAAAUAAAGCCCCGUUGCAGAUCUGUUGUAGUAUAUGUGACCGCAUAACGCUUCAACGGUCCGCCGAAUGGACCGCAUGAUGGCCCUCCGGAAUUGACCGGUCUGCGGUCGCAUAAUGCACCGCAAAACUUUCCUCCAGAAAGUUUUGUAUUGGAUCUGCGAUGGGUUGUUUGGCCUGCAAAAUUAUCAUGCGGCUUCAUAAUGGUCUAAAUAUUUUUUCCAAAUUUCUGCUUCAGUCUGCGGCAGAUCUGCUAUCCGCAGAUUAGUUAUGCGACCGCAGAAUGGACUGUAGAAAUGUCCUGCAACUCAAAAAGUCCGAACCGUAUGCAUAAGUCUACUUUGGCACCGUGAAACCCCGGGUUUUAGGUAAACCUUUACGGGGCCUUACAGAGGUAACACAAAUCCGAAAAUAAAUUUGCCACCGGAAGGAAACACACAAGAACAUGAUCAAGUUUUUAUCAAGGAAGACUUAGGACUAUUCAAUCAUGCGAUACGAGGAUCAUUUCAAAAGAAGCAUCUACAUCAAGUCAUGUCAGGAAGGAAAAUAAUACUACAUACCUUAUUGAAGAUACUAAUUGCACUCCCCAGAUUCUUACAUGUUCUAUGGUGAUUAUCUUUAAGCACAAGAAUUCCUUCUCAGUUUUGAGAUUUCUUCACUUUCAAGGAGUCUCUAACAGCAACACAACAAGAAAUAGGAUUGAUGAGAUGAUGAUCAUGCGAUUCUUCACAUUAACUUCACUAGGUUCAUUUUUGAUUUAGCCUUGGAUCAUAUGAGGAUUUAUAGAGAGAGUUCUGGAAUUAUUUUGAGAGAGUUUUGAGCUGACGAAUCCUG